rnacentral:rRNA from 1 species
GAUGAACGCUGGCGGCGUGCCUAAUACAUGCAAGUCGAGCGAACAGACGAGGAGCUUGCUCCUCUGACGUUAGCGGCGGACGGGUGAGUAACACGUGGAUAACCUACCUAUAAGACUGGGAUAACUUCGGGAAACCGGAGCUAAUACCGGAUAAUAUAUUGAACCGCAUGGUUCAAUAGUGAAAGACGGUUUUGCUGUCACUAAUAGAUGGAUCCGCGCCGCAUUAGCUAGUUGGUAAGGUAACGGCCUACCAAGGCAACGAUGCGUAGCCGACCUGAGAGGGUGAUCGGCCACACUGGAACUGAGACACGGUCCAGACUCCUACGGGAGGCAGCAGUAGGGAAUCUUCCGCAAUGGGCGAAAGCCUGACGGAGCAACGCCGCGUGAGUGAUGAAGGUCUUCGGAUCGUAAAACUCUGUUAUUAGGGAAGAACAAAUGUGUAAGUAACUAUGCACGUCUUGACGGUACCUAAUCAGAAAGCCACGGCUAACUACGUG